AGAUGACGAUGAUGAUGAUGAUAAUGAUGAUGUAAAAAAUUGCAAAUCACGAAAGCCGACAUCUUAGUUUUUGCGCUUCAUCAUCAUCAUCAUCAUUUGCU
rnacentral:pre_miRNA from 1 species